rnacentral:rRNA from 1 species
ACUCAAAUGAAUUGACGGGGGCCCGCACAAGCGGUGGAGCAUGUGGUUUAAUUCGACGCAACGCGAAGAACCUUACCUGGGCUCGAACGGCUUCUCAACGGCUGGUGAAAGCCAGUUAUCCCGCAAGGGAGUGGAGUCGAGGUGCUGCAUGGCUGUCGUCAGCUCGUGUCGUGAGAUGUUGGGUUAAGUCCCGCAACGAGCGCAACCCUUGUCCUGUGUUGCCAUGCCGAAAGGCGGCACUCUCAGGAGACCGCCAGCGAUAAGCUGGAGGAAGGUGGGGAUGACGUCAAGUCAUCAUGGCCUUUAUGUCCAGGGCUACACACGUGCUACAAUGGACGGUACAAAACGCCGCAAACCCGCGAGGGGGAGCAAAUCGUCGAAAACCGUUCUCAGUUCGGAUUGCAGGCUGCAACUCGCCUGCAUGAAGCUGGAAUCGCUAGUAAUGGUAUAUCAGAACGAUACCGUGAAUACGUUCCCGGGCCUUGCACACACCGCCCGU